rnacentral:rRNA from 1 species
CUCAUCAAUGGCUUCCAUCUUGUGGAGCACAUCGAGGAUUGAAUCAUCUGGAAGCACACGGAGAAUGUGCAAUACUCGUUGGCAACCGCUUACUUGGCACAAUUCAUGGGCUCUAUAGACUCUCUGAUGCCACAUGAGGUGUGGAAAGCCUAGGCGCCACCUAAAGUGAAGUUCUUCACGUGGUUGGCUAUCCAAGAUAGGAUUUGGGAAGCCGUCAGAUUGGCAAAGUGUGGAUGGCCAAAUUGCGACCUUUGCCCCCUUUGCAAGGGAGUGCAAGAGUCUGGCGCCCACCUCUUCUACAAAUGUAGAUUCACCAUUCGCCUUUGGAAUUUGGUCAAUGAAUGGCUACAUUUUGAGCACCUUGACACUUCUACAUGGCAUCUCGAGUAA